UUCUACCUUUUGUAUCAGGUACACGAUAAUCUGGGUCUUUUCACUGGACAUAACGACGACUUUCUACUUUUUCUAUCAGGUACAUCAACGAUAUUCUGGGUCUUUUCACUGGACAUAAAGACGACUUUCUACCUUUUGUAUCAGGUACACGAUAAUCUGGGUCUUUUCACUGGAGAUAAAGACGAUUUUCUACCUUUUGUAUCAGGUACACGAUAAUCUGGGUCUUUUGACUGGACAUAAAGACGACUUUCUACCUUUUUUAUUAGGUACACGAUAUUCUGGGUCUUUUCACUGGACAUAACGACGACUUUCUACCUUUUGUAUCAGUUACAUCAACGAUAUUCUGGGUCUUUUCACUGGACAUAACGACGACUUUCUACCUUUUGUAUCAGGUACACGAUAUUCUGGGUCUUUUCACUGGACAUAAAGACGAGUUUUCAUUCAUUAUACCUAAACUUAUCACCCAUCUAAUAAAUUUACUUCCCAACUUUGUAGUAAUAAAGCUAAUUUUUUAGACAUCACUAUUGACUUAUCUACAUUUACUAGCAGCCUAUAUUACAAACCCAGUGACAGCCAUUCCUAUUCACACUUUAUUUAUUUACAUCCCUCUGAGCACAAACACGCUAUUCCUACGUUUGAGACGUCUGUGCUCCGACGACGCCGACUUCAGACGUAAAGCGACAUGACUCGUUGUUUUAGACACCAGAAUUAUCCCGAUAACAGCACCGAAGAGGCUAAACUUGCCACAGUCAGUGUAUCACAAGCUGAUUGUCUCCACUCUAAGGACAAACCACAUAGUGACAGAAUUCCUUUAGCCUUUACACACCAUUCUUUAACCAGACAGAUUACCAGAAUCGUCCAAAGCAACUUUACCUAACGAACAAGAGACAACACAUCUAACGACAUUUUGACCACCACCAUCCUUAAUUUCUUUCAAACGUGAGAGGAGUUUGAAAGACAGUCUAGUACAUUCCAAAUUACAGACUGAAGUGUUUUACUUGUACAAACUGACGGAACUCGUCCUUGUGGACGAACUAUUUGUCUCAAUGGGAUUAUAUCACCGACCUUUGCAUUUCACCUAAAAGACCAUUUCACCUGUACAUCAGAGGGCAUUAUUUAUUGUACGGGAUGUAAACAACUUUAUAUUGGGGGAAAAUAUAUGCAGACAAGAUGACAGAUUUCGUGAACAUCUCCGACUUGUACACAACGGAAUUGACGACACGAGUGUACCCGUUUUAUUACAUUAUCUGUCAACAAACAAACAGAGUCAUCAGUACUGACUAUGGUAUACGUAUGUAAGAGGGGUAAUUAAAAUAGUGAUAUAAUUCACGUAUACUGUAUUGAACAUUUUAUUAAUGUUUCCGUAAUAUCCGAUUUAAAU